UAUCCUAACCGUGCAAAGGUAGCGCAAUCACUUGCCCUUUAAUUGGGGGCUAGUAUGAAUGGUUACAUGAGGAUCUAACUGUCUCCUAAGACCAAUCAAUGAACUUGAUGAUUCAGUACAAAUGCUGAAAUAAUAUCACAAGACGAGAAGACCCUGUGGAACUUAAAGUCACUAAGCUAGUAAAACGGAUAUUACACCAUCUAACCUAGCAAAAACUUUCAGUUGGGGCAACUACGGAGUACAACAAAACCUCCACGAACUGCAGCUAUUGUCUGCACCCAAGGCUCACAUGCCGACACCAGAUCCAGCAUGGCUGAUCUUCGAACAAAGCUACCCCAGGGAUAACAGCGCCAUCCCCUUCAAGAGUCCAUAUCGUAAAGGGGGUUUACGACCUCGAUGUUGGAUCAGGACACCCAGGCGGUGCAGCCGCUGCCAAAGGCUCGUUUGUUCAACGAAUAAUGUCCU
rnacentral:rRNA from 1 species